rnacentral:lncRNA from 1 species
UGUCACGGGAUUAUAGUGACCAUAGCAGCACAUCCGUCUGAGAGUAUGUUUUAUAAAGUAUGGAUAAAUGGCAAUAUUUUUAUAUGACUUGCAUUAUCAUGAUUAUGAACUUUUAUGGAUAGAACAUGCAUUGCUUUAUGACCUGAUUUGUGUAUAUCAUCUAUAAAAUGUUUUAUUUUAAUCACUACAUUGGCAUAAUUGUACUUGAUCCAAUAAGAUAGUACCUGGUUACUUACUGAGCUGUGUAGCUCAUACCUUUUUAUCUACUUUUUUCCUACAGAUGAUUAAGACCACUAGGAGCAGGGAGCUUGAUGUUAUUCAGGGUUGGGGUAAUUGAAAAUGUUAUGUAAUAAUCAGAUUUUAGAAGCUCUGUACUGUUCCAACUUCUUCACUAAUGUUAUGACAUUAGUAAAUGAAACUAUUUAUUUUUAUUUUAUGUGGCUUCGUGUUAUUGUGUGCAUAAGAUAGCAAUAGCACGGCCGUGUCAUGAUCCGGAUUUGGGGCGUGACAUUUUUGAGCAUUUAUGAAUAUAGAUCUAGUAUGGCCUGUAAUUCUCUAAUUUUGCUGAUUGUAUCGGUCUAACUCAUGAAUCUAAUGAAAUUUUCAGUCCAACCAUCCAAAUAGAUCUUAGAAAUUUUUGGUUGGUAUUGUUAUCCAUCCCUUGAUGCUUCUUUUUGCUUUCUUGUUCUUCGAGAAGACAUAUUGUCUGAAAACUGGGGAGUUAAAGCUUGGCAACG